rnacentral:rRNA from 1 species
GACGAACGCUGGCGGCGUGCUUAACACAUGCAAGUCGAACGAUGAAACCUAGCUUGCUAGGUCGAUUAGUGGCGAACGGGUGAGUAACACGUGACUAACCUGCCCCUUUCUCUGGGAUAACGCUCCGAAAGGAGUGCUAAUACCGGAUACUCACACCGAGGCACAUGCCUUGGUGUGGAAAGUUUUUCGGAAAGGGAUGGAGUCGCGGCCUAUCAGCUUGUUGGUGUGGUAACGGCUCACCAAGGCGACGACGGGUAGCCGGCCUGAGAGGGCGACCGGCCACACUGGGACUGAGACACGGCCCAGACUCCUACGGGAGGCAGCAGUGGGGAAUAUUGCACAAUGGGCGCAAGCCUGACGCAGCGACGCCGCGUGAGGGAUGAAGGUCUUCGGAUUGUAAACCUCUUUCAGUAGGGACGAAGCGAAAGUGACGGUACCUAAAGAAGAAGCACCGGCUAACUACGUGCCAGUCGCCGCCGUAA